AGGCUCGGACUUUCAAGAGAGCUAUCUUUCGACAGUGAUACAUUUUAACAUUUGACUGUCAUGGAGUUGCUCUCUUAAAAGACGAACCU
rfam:Asian citrus Psyllid, Diaphorina citri - Florida Strain, whole genome shotgun sequence.